rnacentral:rRNA from 1 species
GUUAGGAAUAUUGGGCAAUGGAGGAAACUCUGACCCAGCAACGCCGCGUGAAGGAUGAAGGUUUUCGGAUUGUAAACUUCUGAUCUGUGGGAAAAAACAAAUGAUGGUACCACAGGAGAAAGCUCCGGCAAACUACGUGCCAGCAGCCGCGGUAAUACGUAGGGAGCAAGCGUUGUCCGGAAUGACUGGGCGUAAAGGGAGCGUAGGUGGCCUUUUAAGUGAAAUGUGAAAGCCCGGGGCUCAACUCCGGAAUGUCAUUUCAUACUGGAAGGCUGGAGUGCAGGAGAGGUAAGCGGAAUUCCUAGUGUAGCGGUAAAAUGCGUAGAUAUUAGGAAGAACACCAGAGGCGAAGGCGGCUUGCUGGACUGUAACUGACACUGAGGCUCGAAAGCGUGGGGAGCAAACAGGAUUAGAAACCCUAGUAGUCC